rnacentral:lncRNA from 1 species
CCCACCUCACCCUCGCAGCAACCCCCUUCUACACCCGCCUCCACGGAACCCUGAUCCUGGCUCCCCUUCUCUCCGACCCCAGGGGCUCCUGGGAUCGCGCUCCUCCUUCUCCCCAGCCCUCACCAUCCGGCAGCCUCUUCUGCCUCUGUUCCGCCGCCCUCUGGCUUCACUAUGGAACCCCCUGCGGCCCCUGGCCCCCUAUCUCUCCCCUCUGGGGCCCCUCUAUCCCUCCUCGGCUCCCCAGUCGACACCUUCGCCCCGCCCUGCAGUUCUCUCCACUUCUCACAUUUCUCCUCCUGCCCCCUCUCUCUACCCUCCUCUGUCCCAUGACUAUGAAUUUCACAGAGAAGCCUGUUUAUUUAGGUGACACCAAGUGGGAGACACACGAAACCGUUUCCCUAGCAUGGUUUGCCAAGUGGUGCAUAGGUCCCUACCCAGGAUCCGAACUGGCGAACCCGGGCCCGCAGAAGCAGAACGUGCGAACUUAACCACUACGCCAUCAGUUGGCCCCAGCAGUUGUGUCUUAACAAGCCCUCCUGGUGAUUUCUGAUAUGCCCUAGGCUGAAAACCACUGCCCGAGAUGUUCCGUGACAUAUUAGCUCCCUUCUUCAUAGGGUGAAUGGCUUCUGAGACCCCAAACCGGAACAGACCAUGUGUCUGAAUGCAGAAGCUGAGCCCCAGAGCCCAGGGCCCCAGGAGCCUGAGAGAAAGUGCCCUAAGGAGACCCCUGCCAGGUGAGGCCUAUCUCUGAGGGCUCUGUCCUUGCCUGGCGGCCCUCAAAACCUGGCUAACUGCUCACAGGCAAGUUGUGCCCUGGGUUUCCCCCACCAACUCCACACUUCACCCUGGGGGGAAGGGAAGGGUCACCAAAGUCCCUAACCCCUCCUUCAGGUGGGGGGCCUGUGCUCUCCCACCUCUGUCUCUUCAGCCUCCCCCUCCUCCUUGCUGAUCUCACCUGAGUCUCCCCUCCCCCGACAGGCAGGCGGGGAGCAAAGGAAGAGGAGAAGGCAGGACAGAUCUCCAGCUCCCUAUCUUCUGUGGGACCCUUUGACCCCUCAGCUGUCACAACUGACCUUUUCCAACUUCUCCUACCAGAGGCCCCACCCCCCACCAUGAAGCCCCUUUCCAGCCUGGAAUGUGAACUCCCCUUUCCGUGCCCCAAAUGUGGGAAGCGCUUCAGCCAGGGGGCCCAGCCUGACCCUGUACCUACACUCCCACACAGGUGACAGGCCCUGCUCCUGCAGCCGGUGUGGCCACAGCUCCUACCUGCCCCAGCCCCCGACACACAUGCCCACCAGUGUAGCAAGGGCUUCUCCCCAGAGCUCUGGCCGGCUGCAGCACACCACUGUUCACACAGGCACAUGGCCCUACGUCUGUGUCACCUGUGGAUGGGGUUCAGGAGCCACCCAGCCUCGUCUAUCGUGAGAAGACUCACUUAGUGAGCACAGCUUCCCCUGCCCCGAGUGUGGCAAGCACUUCACCCAGAGUGUCCGCUGAGCCCAGCACCUACGGACGGAUGCUCACAGGGGAGAAGCCCUACCUGUGCGGCUAGUGUGGCCAUGGCUUCAGCCAGCACCCCUGGCUCGUGGCCCACCAGUGGGUCCACCACUUGGUUCCUCUGCUGUCCCUGCCGGCCCACACCUGCUAGGUGUGCUCUUCCCUCGGGUGCGGGCAGUAGCCUGCUGCCACACAGUGCAGCACAUGAGAAGCCCUUCUUCUGCCCCCAGUAUCCCGAGGGCUCUGGCUACUCCAACCUGCAACACCACCAGCAGGACCACGGGGGGAGCGGCCCCACCACUGUGACCAGUGCAGCAAGGGCUUCAGACAGAGCUCAGGGCUGUGUGGCACCAGGGAGUCCACAGGGGCAAGACUGCGAGUGCAGUUUCCGGUCCAGCUCCGGCCUGGCGCAGCACCUGCAGGGCCGCUCUGGGGACAGGCCCUUCUGCUCUGGCGGCUGUGGCUUCACUCAGAGUCCCCAUCGACCUUGACAACAGGCCAGGGCUGGUGAGGAGCACAGGGAUGAACAUGGAGGGGGGGGACAUCUGGAGGCCAAGUCAAGGCCCCUGUGGGGAGCCAGCCCCCCAACUCCACAGCACUCUAGGAGGGUAGAGGGGCAGUUGGAAUGACUGCCUCUUCUGUGGGAGGCAUAAUGGAGCACAGCUUCCACCACACCCCAGCCAGAGCAACUUUCAGAGCAACCACAUUGGGUGGCCAGAGUGUCUCUGCUGGACCUACUCAAAGCUGGAAUGGCCAGGUCCACCUCACUUCUAGUCCAACGUGCCAGUUCCCCAGAGAGCUCCCGGCCUGGGAAAGAGCUCUCCCUGUUUCUUAGAAAGGACUCUGUACUUCUGAUCUUCUGUCCUCCGUCUGAGACAUUUAACCAGGAUGUCUGGGUCCUGCUGCCUCAUGGAUGGAUCCGAUUCCCUGGGAUUUUUUUGAAGGGAUCAUUUCAAAGAGAUAACUGAAUCCCCAUAGAUCUCCAUGACAACGCCCACCAUCAAAUCCUAGUCCCCCACUAACCCCUCCAACCCUCUCAUUUCCCCCGAGGCUUCUGGAUGCUUCUUGCCUCUGGUGCUAAAGCUACACCCAGCACACCUGUCUGAUGCUGCCAUCUCCCUAUGCCUACUCCUGGCCUUGCUAGGCCCUGUUUCAGGACCCCAGGGCUUCCUAAAACCUUCAUUGCACUUCAGUCUAGGAAUAAAGCCCAGAUGGAGGCUGCUCUUUCCAGCUGUACAGAGGCCUCCUAUUGAAAGGUGCAAAAGGGCAGAGGCAGGUGUCCAAGGAGAGGGCAGGGAUGUGGAGGAGAUGGAGACCGGAGGAAAAGCCAAAGGAGUUUGGAGGAGAAAGUGGGAGGUUCUGGAAUGUGGAGAAAAGACAGCAGGGCUGUGUGAGACAAGACCCACAAGAAACAUCUCAGAAAAACUUAGAAACAAAUGUCUUCAGGUACGAACAUCCCCGGGGAACCACUCAUUUCUUCUUCAGUUGACAAGUUUCCCCCAGUGUUGUGAAGGCACUGAGUUGCCAACACAAGCACUUCAUGUCCUGCCAUUUGCACUUUUUCCACAAAAUUGCUUGCUAACUGUCUUCUUCGUGUGUUGGCAAACUGAUUUUGAACAAAGAGUCAGGAGGGAGUCCCACAGCAGAGUCCCUUCCAGACUGGUGCCCCUGGCCCAGCCUGGCACUGAGGAGAGCGCUGUCAUCAUUCACCCUUUUAGAAGGUUCUGCUGGGGGAGUCACUCCCUGGCAACACUCACAGCAAGUUUAUGGUUACUGUUCAUGUUAAAGGAUAAGGUAGACCUCAGCUCUUGUAUUAACUUCCCCCAAAGUAUACUCUUUAGAACUGGGCAGAGUCCUCCCUAGGAGGUAUCAGAGGCUGAUUACUGACACACACACGAAGGAAUUAAAGAACUGGAGGGAUAAAAGGGUCACUGAGAGACUGCUAAUCAGUUUCACCCUUUCAGGAAAUAUGUAUUGAGUCCACCACGUGUCAGGGACUGUUCUGGGACCUGGGUAUUACAAACAGGCAUAUGAUGCAGCCCCCGCCUUCCACCGAUUUGAUCUAGGCGUGUUCAGCAUCUCAAUAUUGAACCCAGCAUCUAGUCCUAUCAAUUGUAUCCACUAUACUCUCUCAAGUAUGUCGUCUCUUUCCCACCCCUCCACCUCCCUUGUCCAGCUACCACCUGGACCAUCUGGUUCUCCUCUGAAUCAUCGUGAUGGCUGGAGAGGCUGGGAAUGGCGUUCUCUGUGAGCAGCACACCUGAGUAACAGAGGCCUCUUUGAAAUGUAAAUCUGAUUGUUUCAGGCACCCUGCUGAAGCCCAUUCAAUGGUUUCCCAUUGAUCUCAGGUUAAAGACCCCAGUCCUUAACCUGGCCUUUAAAGCUCUGCGAGGUGUGGCCGUGUCGGCCUCUCCAGCCUCAUCUCCCACCACUCACUCCUCUCUCCCUCGCGCAGAGCGCUCCACUUCCUGUCGGUGUCCCGCUUCCUCCCGCAGAGAGCGGCGGCCAGGCUGGGCCCUCCUCCUGAGAGGUGCUUUCUUCCAUUUCUCUCUUAGCUCCUCAUUCUUCGGAUCUCAGCUCCUUUACCACAUCCUUAGGGAAGGUACCCUAUCCUUUCCUUCAGGGUCCAAUUCCCUCCUCUGGGCUCCCACACCAAGGUGCACCUUUCUUGGAGGCACUUGGCACAGUUCAGUUCCAUAUUUGUUGGUGAUUAUUUGAUUGAUGUCUGUCUCCCCACAGACUGUAAGCUCCCUGAGGGUGGGCACCACGACUGCAGAGGCUCACUCUUGCUAUUCCCUGGAAACUCCAUAAAUAUUGAAAUAUUGGUUGAAUGGGUGCACAUGCGCCAGGAUCUGCGGCAGAGGCUAGAUAUUUCAGGAUUUCAGAGAGGGUGGAUUGAGGCCGUAAUUUCCCUCCAGCGGCUGCCGCCCAAGAGUCCCAUAUGCCAUUUCCUUAGCACCAUUCCUUUCUCCAUGUUUCCUGGUGUCAUCCAUCUUCCCAGCUCCACCUCUCCGGCACCCUCCUCACCUCCACCUUGCCUAGGAGAACCUUUCUCCCUUUAGUUUUUUAGUGCCCCUUCCUGGUCUUGGCUCCUUGGCUUCAGAAGCCAGCAUGGAAUAAUGAGGCAAUAGCACAGGAUUCAGAAACAAAAUAUCUGGAUUCAAUAACAAGGUUAAAAGUAUUAGCGGUGUGACCUUCAGCAGGCUAUUAAACCACUCGGAACCCUAGCUUACAUAAAAUGGGAACAACUUCGAAAUCAAGCAAGUUGGAGGAAUUAGAAAAUCUAAAAGCACCGUCAUCUAGAAAUACUGGAUAAAAUAUGAAAAAAAUUAAACAUAUGACUGAAUUCUCAAAAGGAAAGUAAAAUUCCAGGUGCCAGAAACAAAGAGGAAACUGAAAGCUGGAGGCUGAGCUGACUGUGGCCACGGUGACCAGAAGGCGGCUGGAGGGAAUGGGUUCUGUUAACUCAGGGCUUGAGUGCUUCCAGCCACCCGGGGACAGGAGACGAGGUCUUGGUCCUGAAGAGGUGGGGAAAUUAGAUGAAAGGAGCCAAAGCUGACUCAAGAAGAAAUUAAAAACCUGAACAGAUCUAUAAAUUCUAAUAAAUUAAAUGAGAAGCUAAAAAUGUACACGCACACAGCACCUAGAUGGUUCCUAGGUAUAUUAUUCUGCCAACUCUUAAAGGAACUAUUUAUUUAUUUAUUUAAACUACACCAGAUAACGGUAAAAGAGGAAAAUCUCACUUAUAAGACUAAAAGUCCUAAAUAAAAUAGUAG